rnacentral:rRNA from 1 species
CCUACGUGAGGCAGCAGUGGGGAAUAUUGGACAAUGGGGGGGAACCCUGAUCCAGCGACGCCGCGUGAGUGAAGAAGUAUUUCGGUAUGUAAAGCUCUAUCAGCAGGGAAGAAAGAAAUGACGGUACCUGACUAAGAAGCCCCGGCUAACUACGUGCCAGCAGCCGCGGUAAUACGUAGGGGGCAAGCGUUAUCCGGAUUUACUGGGUGUAAAGGGAGGGUAGACGGCGAUGCAAGUCUGAAGUGAAAGGCGGGAGCUCAACCCCCGGACUGCUUUGGAAACUGUAUGGCUGGAGUGCAGGAGAGGUAAGUGGAAUUCCUAGUGUAGCGGUGAAACGCGUAGAUAUUAGGAGGAACACCAGUGGCGAAGGCGGCUUACUGGACUGUAACUGACGUUGAGGCUCGAAAGCGUGGGGAGCAAACAGGAUUAGAUACCCGAGUAGUC